rnacentral:rRNA from 1 species
AAAGUAUUUGGCUUUCUAUAAGGACAAUUGAAUGGCCGCGGUAACUCUGACCGUGAUAAUGUAGCGAAAUCACUAGCCAGUUAAUUGCUGGCCUGUAUGAAUGGCUUAACGAGGGCUCCACUGUCUCAAUAAUAAACCGGGUGAAAUUGGAAAAACGGUAAAGAUACCGUAAAGGAAUUCUAAGACGAGAAGACCCCAUUGAGCUUUACUAUUAACUUGUAUUGCCAAAGCAAAUAAAAGGGAACUCUCCCUUGCUUUAUAAUAAAAUUGAGUAGACUAAGUGGGAAAAAAGGGAUGUUAGUCCCCUUUUUAUGGCCGAUUCAUUGGAUUGGGCCCCCAAAAGAUACCUUUUGGGGCCAUUGGCGUAGAGAGGGGGGAUCCGAUUUUCGGAUCGGCGCCGAAGGCGCCCAACCCUACUCGAUUUUUAUGAAAAACCACUCUUUUUAUUAGGAUUACUGGCUAAAACCGUACAAGUAAGGUAGUUUGGUUGGGGCGACCGCCUUCGAAAAAGUAUCGAAGGCGUACAUAAGAUUAAUCCGGGGGGGGUGUCCUUUUUUCACCCCCAAACAAACCGGGGGUAAUGCCCCAAAAAAGAUUAGUUUGACUGAGAGGGCUACAACCCGAACAGGCGCUUGGGGAUCGUUAGGAUCCCUGGGCCCGGUUUAUACCAAGGGGCCUAAUUGACCAGCGGGCUCCUUUUUAUUCCCGGGUCGAACCUAGCGGGUCAUAGUGAUCCGUUGUUAUAUUGUGGGAUAGACAACGAUCAACGAAGAA